rnacentral:lncRNA from 1 species
UUGCCAAUGAUGAGACUGGAAUUGAGUAAACAGGUAUAGUACUGAUUAUUAGAGCUUUGAUGUGAUUUCUUGUUAUGAAUCGAAUUUUUUUCUGUUUGAAACUGGUAUAAAAACGAUAGCACGUUAGAGACAACUAUGUUGACUGAUUAAGUUUAAAUUGGUAUAUAAUGGACUUCUUAAGGAUGAUACUGGUUUGAAUGAAAGGAAGACAUGAACAGGUAGAGAUGGCUAAAUUUAGAAAAAAACUUAAGUUUGGGGAAAAUAUUUGGGAUAUAUAAGCU